rnacentral:lncRNA from 1 species
CUCUGUUCUUGUACUGGAUUUCCUUAAAGGAGAGGCCUCCAGUGCACCUCGUCAGCUGCACUCAGCUCUUAAAUGCAGCUAUUCACAGAGGGCCCAGGCUCUCCCCUGCCCUGUGACACUACGUGGGACACACACCUCCACAGGGAAUUUGAAGAAUCUCCAGGAGGGCCAGAGAGUAGACUUGGAUGCCACCCAGCCAGCAAUAGAGAAGUUGGGACCACCCAGCCAGGGACAAGGCCACACCUCAGCCAUCACCACCCACAAGCAACGCAGCAUGUAUGAGCUGGGACAGGACACCAGAAACUACCUCAUGAUUGCUCCGGAAGAAGCAGCUGCAGGUGCUCAGCCAUCUUUAUUUCCUGCCACCCCCAAACUAUGAAGACAGCAAAGCAGCCUGUGGAGAGGCUGCUCACAGAGGCAACCCCACCCUUACUUGGUGAUGGCACGUGGAACUCCACCUCCCAGGUGGAAAAUGGAAAAAUUGUUUCCUUCUCUGAUCUACUGCCUGAGCUGUCAUCAGGAUUUUGAGGACUGACUUAAUGAAUAAAAUAUAAAGGCUUAGCGUGAGCCUGGGAUAUGCAUGGUGGAAGAGAAUAAAUAGCCUUUUGUAUAUCAAAGAUACUUUCUGGGUAACCCAAUCUGAGAAAUAGCUACUUCAGCCACAUCUGCUGUUAGGGAAGGCUGAGAAAAUAGUGACUAUAAAAUGAAAUGAGGCUUGUAGGUGAACCACAUGAAAUCCUGUGAACCGGGGAGAAGUCACCAGCUAUUACAAUGGAGUCUAGCUAAGAAGGGGCACGUGGGGGUGGGGAGAUCGUGACCAAUCAACAGUGCAGCUUGAAAAUGUGGGUUUUCUCUUGGGAAGCUUCAUUCCCUGGGAAGGAAGAAGCUAUAACGAAACAGGAGCAAUGAAGCUUUGCCUGGAGAGGAUGCUGCUCACAUUUGCAUGUUAAAUGAACUGAGGCCUCUCCUGGCUCCCCUUGGAGGGCUCUCAGAGGCAGCUCUAGCCUCAGAGGGUCUCUUGCCCACAUCUUACUCUGGUUCAGAGCCCACAUCCCCAAAGAGAGCCUUGUACACAGCAGGUAUUCAAUCAAUAUUUGUAUUAAAUUGCAUUUUAAAAGCUGAUUACUUGAGUGACCCCUUCCCCUACCCACCCCCAAAGACUGUCCUCCAGUAUCUCUUUGUGCAUAUCCUGAAUUCAAGCUGCAGUGAGAGGCUUUAGCAAGAGAGAGAAAACCCACUCUAAAAGCUUCAUUUGCGACAAUUUCCAUUUUAUUUCUCACCACCACCAGCCUUUGGACGAACAG